rnacentral:rRNA from 1 species
GAUGAACGCUAGCGGCAGGCUUAAUACAUGCAAGUCGAGGGGCAGCACAGGUAGCAAUACUGGGUGGCGACCGGCAAACGGGUGCGGAACACGUACACAACUUACCUUCUGGUGGGGGAUAGCCUUUGGAAACGGAGCUUAAUACCCCAUAUUAUAUAUGAGCUGCAUGGUUUGUAUAUUAAAGAUUUAUUGCCGGAAGAUGGGUGUGCGUAUGAUUAGGUAGUUGGCGGGGUAACGGCCCACCAAGCCGACGAUCAUUAACUGGUGUGAGAGCACGACCAGUCACACGGGCACGGAGACACGGGCCCGACUCCUACGGGAGGCAGCAGUAAGGAAUAUUGGUCAAUGGACGGAAGUCUGAACCAGCCAUGCCGCGUGGAGGAUGAAGGUCCUCUGGAUUGUAAACUUCUUUUAUAGGGGGCGAAAAAAGGGAAUUCUUUCUCGUCUGACGGUACCCUAUGAAUAAGCACCGGCUAACUCCGUGCCAGCCGCCGCGGUAAUAC